GAUGAACGCUGGCGGCGUGCCUAAUACAUGCAAGUCGAGCGAACAGAUGAGGAGCUUGCUCCUCUGACGUUAGCGGCGGACGGGUGAGUAACACGUGGAUAACCUACCUAUAAGACUGGGAUAACUUCGGGAAACCGGAGCUAAUACCGGAUAAUCUAUUGAACCGCAUGGUUCAAUAGUGAAAGACGGUUUUGCUGUCACUUAUAGAUGGAUCCGCGCCGCAUUAGCUAGUUGGUAAGGUAACAGCUUACCAAGGCAACGAUGCGUAGCCGACCUGAGAGGGGGUACGGCCCCACAGGAGCUGAGACACGGCCCAGACACCUACGGGAGGCAGCGGUAGGGAAGCGACCGAAAUGGGCGAAAGCCUGACGGAGCAACGCCGCGCGAGUGAAGAAGGGCUGCGGAUCGUAAAACGCUGUUAUGAGGGAAGAACAAAUGUGUAAGUAACGAUGCACGUCUGAACGGUACCUAAACAGAAAGCCACGGCUAACUACGG
rnacentral:rRNA from 1 species